GAUGAAGAACGCAGCGAAAUGCGAUAAGUAGUGUGAAUUGCAGAAUUCAGUGAAUCAUCGAAUCUUUGAACGCACAUUGCGCCCCUUGGUAUUCCAUGGGGCAUGCCUGUUCGAGCGUCAUUUGUACCUUCAAGCUUUGCUUGGUGUUGGGUGUUUGUCUUGCCUUUGCGUGUAGACUCGCCUUAAAAUAAUUGGCAGCCGGCGUAUUGAUUUCGGAGCGCAGUACAUCUCGCGCUUUGCACUCAUAACGACAGCGUCCAAAAGUACAUUUUACACUCUUGACCUCGGAUCAGGUAGGGAUACCCGCUGAACUUAAGCAUAUCAAUAAGCGGAGGA
rnacentral:misc_RNA from 1 species